GACGGAGGAUGCAAGUGUUAUCCGGAAUCACUGGGCGUAAAGCGUCUGUAGGUGGUUCAAUAAGUCAACUGUUAAAUCUUGAGGCUCAACUUCAAAAUCGCAGUCGAAACUAUUGGACUCGAGUAUAGUAGGGGUAAAGGGAAUUUCCAGUGGAGCGGUGAAAUGCGUAGAGAUUGGAAAGAACACCAAUGGCGAAAGCACUUUACUGGCUAUUACUGACACUGAGAGACGAAAGCUAGGGUAGCAAAUGGG
rnacentral:rRNA from 1 species